rnacentral:rRNA from 1 species
UAGGGUGCAAGCGGUGUCCGGAAUUAUGGGGCGUAAAGAGCUCGUAGGCGGUUCGUCGCGUCGGCUGUGAAAUCCCGGAGCUCAACUCCGGGUCUGCAGUCGAUACGGGCGGACUUGAGUUCGGCAGGGGAGACUGGAAUUCCUGGUGUAGCGGUGAAAUGCGCAGAUAUCAGGAGGAACACCGGUGGCGAAGGCGGGUCUCUGGGCCGAUACUGACGCUGAGGAGCGAAAGCGUGGGGAGCGAACAGG